rnacentral:rRNA from 1 species
AUGGCUCCAACUCCAUGCUUCCACCUUCUGCUGGUCCUAUCCGUCGGCGGUGCACUCUGCACCAGCGCACUUGUAGACUACGUCCACCAACCCCCGAUCCGGUGCUCUGCUGACAACUACACCGACGGAAGCCAGUACCACAAGAACCUCUACCGCCUGCUGCAGACCAUCACCAUGGCAGCCCCGCGAAAAGGUGGCUUCUACAGUGGCACCUUUGGCGUGGGUGCCGACAAGAUCUUCGCCCUCUUCAUGUGCUACGCCGAGGUCGAAUAUUCCCCGGAGGUGUGCCAAUAUUGCCGUACCUCACCUGAGGAGAUAAUGAAGAAAUGCCCGCAGAGCCGGACGGCUAACGUCUACAUGGGGAGCUCCUGCUUCAUCCGGUACUCCGACAAAUCUUUCUUCUCCGUCGCCGACCUCUCCCUCGAAGCGAGGCAACAGCCUGUAUAG